UAUCCUGCCAUUUUUUAGUCUGCCACAAGCAAUUGGGUACAAUCAUAUUUACAGAGGACAUUUAAAAAAAUCUGCUUAUUCCGAAGUCAGGAGCUAAUGUGGAUAUACAUUUCAUUUCAAAAACUUAGAGGGUGGCUUGUCUGUUUGAUGUUAUGAUUAUGAAGCUGCAAUUCACCAAUUUAUCCCUUCUCAGGAGGUUUGUGUGUGAUGCAGCUUUCACGUGUUUGGAGCCUUUAGCCUUGCCUGGUCAUGCACGUUUCUUAC